rnacentral:miRNA from 2 species
GGCUUUUUUUUUUCUUUUUC